rnacentral:piRNA from 1 species
UCCGAUAUGGUCUAGUGGCUAGGAUACC